GGUUUGGAAGAAUGAGAUCUGGGAGAAUCGGCUUCAGCCUGGACACCAAAAGCUUUGAGAUGGUCUUAUACAAGGCUGUGCAGCAAGAUAUAGGCCUGAAAUCAGUAAUGAGAGAGGCGCCUGGUUUCUUAGGGACGAGCGUAAGGAUUGUUGAGUUUACCGCAGAGGGUAAAAAGUAGGUUGAGAAGAAGUGGAGGAUUCCUGCAAUAGUCUCAUUUCCCACAACAGACCAAGCAGCUUUGAAGAAACCAGAGGUUAGACCGUCGGGGCCAGGAGCUUUAUUUGGAUUCAACUUUUUCAUUACAGACACAAUCUCUUCAGCAGAGGGAACUUUUGACAUAGAAGAUUUGAUGGCGAGGGGGACUCUGUAGUCAGUGAUAGACUGGAACCAGGCCGGUGUGAUAAUUAGGGGCGAAAGAUUAGGGGGAGCCAGGAUAUUCUGGAAAUGAUCAACGGCCAGGAGACACAUUUGAACAGGAUCAGAUAUGAUGAGCCCAGCUUCAGUUUGGAAUGAGCGGAUGGAAGAAGGUAUGGCGAAGAGGAAGGCAAGGCUUGUACCUGAACACAAUUCAACAGAUCCUUGAAGCUCAGAGAUGCCAAUGUAAGUGCUUCACUUCCGGCUUGAAUCCAAGCAGUCUCAACCGUGGAGGGAAAGAGAGGAUGGGAGGUCAAAUAGUUGAGGAAUUUGAAAGGUCUAGUUCCACCUUGGGGAAGAGGGCAGACAAGGUCUAAAAGGCAAGGCGUAUGGUCUGAAAAAUCAGGAGGAAGGAAGUUGGCAAUGCUGUGGGGGAAGCUAGGGAGCCAAUUCCUAUUAACAAGUAGCCGGUCGAGUUUCUUUGCAACUGGCGAAUAAGGCUGCUUGUUUGUCCAAGUGAGGCGGGUACCCUGGUAACGAAUGUCAAACACGUCCAGAUCAUGGAGACAAGUACUCAGCUCUCUCAUUCUACUAGUGAUAUGAUUGAUAGAGCGACUUGAGUGUUCUUCAUAGUGUAGAAUUUGAUUAAAAUCACCGCCAAGCACCCAAAUACAUUGGUCCAGAUCAACAGUGAGAGAUUGUCUGGACUGGUGGAGAGUUCUUACAGUGACAGAGUUCUUCCAGAUGAUCACAAUUCUACCGUCAUCAUCAGAUUGGUGGUUCGAAGUAAAAUUCCAGCAUGGGCAGGUGCGGUUGAUAACUUGGUUCAGAUUCAUUUCCUUAAUGUGAGUUUCCAAAAAAGCUCCAAAUAGGGGCUGAUGAGCUUGUAACCAAAAAUUAAAGGGCCAUGUUUGUCCGUUUCAUUUAGUCCACGGACAUUCCAAAAGAAGAGUUUGGGAUUCAUAGAGGUUGAGGGGAAGACACUCCAUGGGAUUGGAGGGAUUCCUCAACGGGUAAUAAGAAAGGAUCAGAAGAAGAGAUAAUUAAAGGAGGAGAUAAAGGGCAGAAAUUUGAAAUAAAUGGUUCAGGAGAAAAAGAUGGGUUAGAAGCAGCUUGGGCGAAGGAGACAAGCAGAGAACAAUUUGAAGAAGAGGGAGGAGUGAGAAGAGAUUUUUCUGAGGAAAGAGGCAGGUGUUUAACUUUUUCUGGGGAUAAAGGCAAGUGUUUAGCUUUUUCUGGGGAUAAAUGCAAGUGUUUAGCUUUUUCUGAGAGACGAGAUGGAGGGGGUGAACCAGCGAGGGAAGGAGAAUUUUCUGAUGGAGGAGGGUUGGAUUUAGCAUGUCCAGAAGGGAGAAUGCACAUGGCAGAGGGAGGCGAGAUGUCAGAUUGAGAAACUGGGUCAGAAGAGGAGGCCAAGGGAAGGGGGUUGGAAGAAGGUGGGAGAGACACCUCGGCUAGGGAAUGUUUUGAAGCAGGGACCCAAGCACGAGAAGCCUUAACAUUGCUUGGAGCAGAUCUCGGCAACCAAGAAGGAGUGAGAGAUGGACAAUGUCUAAUGACAUGGCCUAAUUGUUUGCAGUGGGAGCAAGAAGAGGGUAACCAAGGGUAUUCCACAUUGACAGCGAAAGAUUUUCCACUAGUUCUCAAAAGUUCAAUAUGUGAUGGCAAGGACUUUGUGAGAUCGACUGCCACUUUUACAUGUGCCACACAGACACUCGUCAAAGGAAACAUCUUUGAGAUGAGCCCAGAUGGGAAUGUUCACCAGGGGAGGAGUGUCUCUUGCAGAGUCUUCAGACCAAGCCACAACAUGGAACAAUGUAGUAUCAAUAUGCCAGAUGCAUUUCUGGAGAACUUUCUGUCGGAUAAAAUCAUUGGGAAUCCUUACAAGCAUUUUCUUCUCCAGAGGGAAAAGAUGGACUUCAAUCUUUUGACCCUUUCCCCACAUAUGAUUGAGGACGCUCUGGACAAGACCGAUUGGAGGAGUUCUACCACUAAAGUACACAACAAUGAACUCUUUGUGGAGAGCUGCUCCUCUUUGGAAGACUUCAUCAGGAAUCAGGAGCCCUGGUACCAUUGAUAGAGGGCGACUGAGGAGCUAACCUUUUUAGAGUUUUAUCCGCAGCUUUUUUCAUUCUUUGUGCCUAUGUUUCAGGAACUGGACCGGCAGAAGCAAUUGGGGAGACAGGGAUAAGGGGAGAAUGGGCAAAAGAUUGAAGCAAGUGGGAGCCAGCUGGGUCAAACUGGGGGACCUUAUCUGCAGAGCACUGACUUUUCCCUGAAACUUGGAGCAAGGGAGAAGCGGAUGGUGUGGGAAGAAUUCCCGAGUCCGGAAGGUUGAUAAGAUUCUGCUUUACCGAAUCAAUACCACUAGAAGAAUCUUUAAUUUCUGGAGAAAUUGGAAGAUUUAAAACCCCCUUGUGAACAAGAGUCAAUUUCUACAGCAGUGGGGUGAGAAAGAAGAGGUGAGGAGGUCAUUGCUGCAGCUUUGACGAGGAAGCAAUUUGCAUCACAGUAUUUUUGGAGAAGCAAAGGGAGGAGGAGGAGGGGAAGAACGGGGAGGGAAAGAGGAUAAGUCUAUGCGGUCAGGGGGGUCAGGGGGGAGAAGAGGGGGAGGCGGAGGGGAAUGGGAGUUGGGGCUGCCAGGAUUCGAGCUUGAAGAUCGACCAUUGGGGAACCAGCGGUUCACCUGAGAGAGCUUCAUAUUUAGAUAGUCUUAUUUUUAUUUUUUUUGGUUGUCCGGUCGCAAUAUUUGUCACAUGCGUUUUGUUUUUUUCGAGUUUGCUUACAUUUGUUAACUACGUAUCCAAUUUUUUAGGAAAGAUGCCAUGUGGAAAAUAGUUUUAGA